CUGGCUCAGGAUGAACGCUGGCGGCGUGCUUAACACAUGCAAGUCGAACGAAGCGGCUUCUGCUGCAAGAAAGCUGACUUAGUGGCGGACGGGUGAGUAACGCGUGGGUAACCUGCCUCAUACAGGGGGAUAACAGUUGGAAACGACUGCUAAGACCGCAUAACCCGCUAGUGUCGCAUGACACGGACGGAAAAAUAUUUAAUUUUAACGAGUUAAAAUUUGGUAUGAGAUGGGGCCCGCGUCUGAUUAGCUAGUUGGUAAGGUAACGGCUUACCAAGGCGACGACCAGUAGCCGACUUGAGAGAGUGAUCGGCCACAUUGGGACUGAGACACGGCCCAAACUCCUACGGGAGGCAGCAGUGGGGAAUAUUGGACAAUGGGGGAAACCCUGAUCCAAGCGACGCCGCGUGAGUGAAGAAGUAUUUCGGUAUGUAAAGCUCUAUCAGCAGGGAAGAUAAUGACGGUACUUGAGGAGGAAGCCCCGGCUAACUACGUGCCAGCCGCCGC
rnacentral:rRNA from 1 species